GAUGAACGCUGGCGGCGUGCCUAAUACAUGCAAGUCGAGCGAACGGACGAGAAGCUUGCUUCUCUGAUGUUAGCGGCGGACGGGUGAGUAACACGUGGAUAACCUACCUAUAAGACUGGGAUAACUUCGGGAAACCGGAGCUAAUACCGGAUGAUAUUUUGAACCGCAUGGUUCAAAAGUGAAAGACGGUCUUGCUGUCACUUAUAGAUGGAUCCGCGCUGCAUUAGCUAGUUGGUAAGGUAACGGCUUACCAAGGCAACGAUGCGUAGCCGACCUGAGAGGGUGAUCGGCCACACUGGAACUGAGACACGGUCCAGACUCCUACGGGAGGCAGCAGUAGGGAAUCUUCCGCAAUGGGCGAAAGCCUGACGGAGCAACGCCGCGUGAGUGAUGAAGGUCUACGGAUCGUAAAACUCUGUUAUUAGGGAAGAACAUAUGUGUAAGUAACUGUGCACAUCUUGACGGUACCUAAUCAGAAAGCCACGGCUAACUACGUG
rnacentral:rRNA from 1 species